GGAGGUGAUGUCCGGCCGACCCAGCUCAUGCUAGUCUGUGCUCGCCGGCACGGCAAGGACAAGGAGCUGCUGGCCAGAUCGAUCCCGACCACCACGACACCCACCACCCUGAAGAUCGAUGGGAUAAUACCCAAGUGAGUGGCCAUGGAGCCAAACCUGGCAUCUUCACUGCCUGCAGCUCCGGCCUACCCCGCCGCCCUACCUUGACCUCCCGCACAUGGUGGCUGCCUGCCGCUGCUCCAGGCCUCCAAACGGAGCAGAACACAACCCUUCUUCCCCGACAUAUAGCUCUUGCCUUGCAUUGCCCAAACUUGCAGCUUGCUGAGAUGUGAACCGUAGCACCUCUCCUGCUCAUCCCCGACAGGCUGCUCAUCUUGGACAAGGGCGAGGUGGCAGACCUGCUGCUAACGCUAUUCUGCCCUGACGAUAACCGGGGCGAUGAAAGAUGCGCUGAUGGUGAGGAUGGGCAACAAUGGUUUCAGGAGCCACGCCUUCCCUUCUGCCACCAUUUACUGUAAAAUCGGAGCUGUUUUGGCUGCUGCUGCCCAUUGUGCAUCACAAUAGACAGUCACGUGCAUACAUACAGGCCGGAGCACGGAGUGGCUGGAGCUAGGCGAAGGGAGCAGCGCCGCUUUACCUACUGUGGCAGUGGU